GACAGAGGGUGCAAACGUUGUUCGGAAUUACUGGGCGUAAAGCGUGUGUAGGCGGUCCACUAAGUCGGAUGUGAAAGCCCUGGGCUCAACCCAGGAAGUGCACUCGAAACUGGCGGGCUAGAGUAUCGGAGAGGUUGGUGGAAUUCUCGGUGGAGAGGUGAAAUUCGUAGAUAUCGAGAGGAACACCGGUGGCGAAGGCGGCCAACUGGACGAAUACUGACGCUGAGACACGAAAGCGUGGGGAGCAAACAGG
rnacentral:rRNA from 1 species